rnacentral:rRNA from 1 species
GAACCUGCGGAAGGAUCAUUACCUAGAGUUGUAGGCUUUGCCUGCUAUCUCUUACCCAUGUCUUUUAAGUACCUUACGUUUCCUCGGCGGGUCCGCCCGCCGAUUGGACAAUUUAAACCAUUUGCAGUUGCAAUCAGCGUCUGAAAAAACUUAAUAGUUACAACUUUCAACAACGGAUCUCUUGGUUCUGGCAUCGAUGAAGAACGCAGCGAAAUGCGAUAAGUAGUGUGAAUUGCAGAAUUCAGUGAAUCAUCGAAUCUUUGAACGCACAUUGCGCCCCUUGGUAUUCCAUGGGGCAUGCCUGUUCGAGCGUCAUUUGUACCUUCAAGCUCUGCUUGGUGUUGGGUGUUUGUCUCGCCUCUGCGUGUAGACUCGCCUCAAAACAAUUGGCAGCCGGCGUAUUGAUUUCGGAGCGCAGUACAUCUCGCGCUUUGCACUCAUAACGACGACGUCCAAAAGUACAUUUUUACACUCUUGACCU